CCGAGCUUCUUUAUCCGCGGGUGUCGAAUGAACGUCGUGUAUUAAAUUACCACUUGUCAAUUUCGUGAAAUAAUUAUUUAUACGGAAUAUACAUGUAAUGAAGUUUCGUUACCUGACGAUGAAAGGUAACCUCUGGCAUAAUGUGCAAAUGUGUCCGAGAAAAAUGUGUACUGUGUAGAAUCGCUCGAUGUGCCACCUAGCGGUUAGAAUAGGUACUAACGUAACGUCUAACGUAGAAGGAAAAGGAAAGGAAAAAACAAAGUCGGUAAGGCGAGUUGAAGACGGGACUUACCUCUCUCUGUGAGCAUUUUUUACCGAGAAAGGAACCCUCUGCCCGAAGCUUCAUAAAGAAAGGGUUGUCACGAGUGGAGGUGGGCGCUCGCGAUGGACACACGGUGGCUGCACGUACUCUUGUGAUCUCACGUCACGCUGAAACUCUUCUAGGCUGACACCUCGCGAUCCUUAGGCUGUCUUUAUAUCAGUUCGCUCGCUGGCUCUAAAAUCGUGCCGUGAAAGCAUUUAAUUAAAGCGAGCUACGCGACGGGCUGUUGGAAGAGGAAACUGGGCUCCGGGGACUAACGGCGGGUGUGAGUAGUUGCUGUAGGCGCCGCAAGGGUGCGAAACUGCGAACAUUGUCUGUCGGCAAGAGGAGCAGGAGCUCCGAGGCAUUUACUUAAUUAGAGCCAGUUCGUUCCUUUUGCCUACCAACGCCUGCCAGCCUGUAACUGCAUUUAUGCACGAAACCCUUCUGCAUCUCCUGCACCGAGAAAACGGAAGAGACAGAAAAAUCGGAUGUGAAAAUGUGCAGCGACACUCGGAGAAUAGGUGAGACAGGUUACGUGGCUUGGAGAAGUAUGCUUCGUUAGGUUAGGAAUUAGAGAAUGUUUGAAUACGCUCGAGCUUUCGAUUUGUGUGGCCGGGGAAGUGAAGUAGUGAAAGAGAAUAAGAAAGAGGUAAACACGAGGUGGAGGGAGGAACGAGAACGUAGUGACACCUGGUGACAAUUCCUUCAGGGCUGUCGGCAUUAUCUCGCUGCCACAAUGCCCAAAACAUGGCUUCGUUCGAAGUCUCUACGAGAUCCUCGAGAAUUCUCGUUUACUUCCUCCGUCCUGGGACUUGUCCCUUUCCCUUGGGAUAAUGUCCUUUUAUUCUUUCACGAAACGGGAUUCCUAGCCAUUGUACAAGGUGACAGUUUCCACGGGCUAGCCUGUCGAUGCUCGCCAAUACGUUUUGAAGACUUGGGAUAAACGUCUACGGGAACCGACCUACCUGAUCGGUAUUGUUCUUAUUUAUUUUUUGAAUGAACUUUGUUUCCUCAAAAAAGGUCUACCGGAACCAUCCGUUAUGGAAAUUCCUCUUUUCACGGGUUAAAAACGAAACGUAGCUGUAUCGUAGUGGCUGUUGGAAUCUUUGGACCUUAUUAUGGGACCUUUCGACACGCCAGGAAACCACCAUUAACGCCUCGACACGUAAUACGUCACGGUUCAGUCUAGGUGUUCCCUUCUACGACCUAAUAGACAAUAGCCUGUUUCAUGGAUACCAACAUGAUGACCCAUUGACGGUAGCCAUUGUUACUCAGGUGUGAAAAGAUCCGGCGAUUAACCUUCGUUCGAAGUAUCACGAACGAAGCGUAGCACCUUUGCAAGCUUUGUUCUUUUUUCUUUUUCUUUUUUUACACAAGAAAUCACCGCCUUUCUAUUCCUUCUAAUUCAUGCCUCGCGCUCUACUCUUUCUCUCUUCUUUAUUUUCUUAGAAACAGCCCA